rnacentral:rRNA from 1 species
UACGGAGGGGGUUAGCGUUGUUCGGAAUUACUGGGCGUAAAGCGCACGUAGGCGGGCUGUUAAGUCGGGGGUGAAAUCCCGGGGCUCAACCCCGGAACUGCCUUCGAUACUGGCAGCCUUGAGUCCGAGAGAGGUGAGUGGAAUUCCGAGUGUAGAGGUGAAAUUCGUAGAUAUUCGGAGGAACACCAGUGGCGAAGGCGGCUCACUGGCUCGGUACUGACGCUGAGGUGCGAAAGCGUGGGGAGCAAACAGG